UUAAAGUUGUUGCAGUUAAAAAGCUCGUAGUUGAACCUUGGGCCUGGCUGGCCGGUCCGCCUCACCGCGUGCACUGGUCCGGCCGGGCCUUUCCUUMUGGGGAAUCGCAUGUCCUUCAUUGGGUGUGUUGAGGAUCCAGGACUUUUACUUUGCAAAACAAUUAGCAGUGUUCAAAGCAGGCCUAUGCUCGAAUGCAAAAGCAUGGAAUAA
rnacentral:rRNA from 1 species